AAUAGGUAUGACGAAGGAUCGCAAUUCUACGAAGUUGAGCUAACCCAAAAACCCACCUUCAGUUCAGAUUGCAGGAUGUAACUCGCCUGCAUCAAG
rnacentral:rRNA from 1 species